UCUUAUAUUCUAGCAUUGAUUAAAAAUCCUUUUGUUUCAGAUCAGCCCAAAUGAAAUUGAAAGAUUUUCAGAUUUCCCAUUGUCAAACAAAACAUUGAAAGGUUUGCAAGAAGCACAGUAUCGCAUGGUUACUGAGAUACAGAGGCAGACCAUAGGCUUGUCGUUGCAAGGUAAAGAUGUACUUGGAGCUGCAAAGACUGGAUCAGGCAAAACCUUGGCAUUUAUUAUCCCAGCAAGUAAUUGACCUUCUCAUUGGAAGCUUGAGCUUAUGUAAAGUGAAGGUAUUGGACAGUAAACAGGAUAUUUUGGUUCACCUGGGCUAGGAGGAGACGUAUAAUUGGACUGUAAUAUUUGUUCACGUAAAGCUAUGAGAGACUGACGUAUGUAUUGCUGUCUGAGGUUUUGUAAGAUGGCCUGGGUAUAUUUUUGUCUCUAGAAAUGUUUUGACACUUUGAUAUCUUGUUCUGACAUUUUUAUUAAGACUGAUUUUUUUUAAAAAAAGUUUUUUCUUGAUAGUCCUUUACCCAUAUAGUUGUCUGCUAAAAUUAUUUAAAACUGAAUGUCUGUAUGGAAUAAGUGUAAAAUUGAUCAAGGAACCUCUUUACAAUUAAUCUUCACUAAAUAUGUAAUACAUUGUUCAUUGUAGGUUAGGCUAGAGUUCAUGAAAAUGGUUUGCAAAAUAGACUGAAAAUUGGCUCACAACCAAUAUUCCUUAUAGGAUAAAAGUUCCUAGUGGUUCAGCUGGAAAGUUAGGCUUUGCAUUUCUUUUCUUUAGUAUUCUAGAAAGGGAUUUUUCAAGUUGGCAUCUAAAUUGUUUCCUCAAUCAAUGGUGAUCAGGUUGGGAGGGCUUAAUUUGGUUUUAAAUUAUGAGAUUAGUGAUGAGCAUUCAAUGUAGAUUAUUAGUUUAGGGCCCAAUCCACUUCCAUUAAAGUCAAUGACAAAAGAGUGGGAACAGAAAUGGGUAUUUAGGCAAGCUCUCAGAAACCGGAAUGUGCUUUAUGCUAGAUCUCAUUCAUGCUGAUUCGGAAAUAAAUGUCUACGUUUUGGAAGGGGGUGGGGGGAAACAAUCUUCUGCAUACUGUAGAAAGGAAAAUGAGGUUGCUUAAUUUAUAUCAGUAAUUGAGAACUAGAGCUCUUGAAACAAUUGUAUGCAUUUUGAGGUCCACGCAUUUAAAGGGAUUUGUAGAGAAGGGGCCUAGUGAUAACUGGGACUUAGUGUCAUCUAGAAGGAGGCUAGAAAACAAGUUUUGUUCUCCUGUGUGGCUGUGGAAAUCACCAUGAGUAGGGGUAUCACGUCAGCUCUGGUGAAAUCCUUUUCUUGUACAGCUGAACACAACAAUUUGACAGCGUGUGAAUCUGUAAUAGCAGAAGUGGACCUGCCUCAUGGCUGCAGUACCUUUAGUUGGAGUGCUCUGUUUCAGCCAUGGUACUGCCUUGUAGGUGUGAGCCCAGUACUGCUAAGGGCAUUCUACACCCAACAAUGAAAUAUUCUGUGCACAAUAUUUUAAAAUUCUGCAAAUUUUAUUUGUUAAUUAAAUGUGGAGGCUCCAGCAUGGCAUUGGAGAGCACAAGCCACUGGCUGCACAGAGGUGGGAGAUCAUUGUGCAGCCGCCCCAUCCCCCCCCCCCCCGCCCCCAGGGGACAGGGACUCACCGGUGAGGCUGCACCCAACCCUGACACAAUGCAAGGAUCGGGUCUGCCCCAGAAACACCCCAGAGUCCUGCCCCACCAUGCCAGGUGCACCAGGUGUGGACAGAGAGGCUCACAAGGCGGGAUCCGAGUGUGGAACGAAUCCAGCUGUGGGGUGAGGGAGUUCUGUGUGGGGCAGUCUGGGAGCUGGCGGCUCAGUGGGUGAUCUGGAUGCCCAGGAGCUUGUUGGGGGUUCUGGCUGCAAAGGUAAUGGGAUUCUGCAUUGGGAGUCCAGGUGAAGGUAGUUGGGGCUCAGUGGGGGGAGGGGGUUGAGUUGCGGGGAGAUUGAGCUCAGCAGGGGGGUCUGACUGUGAGGGGAUGUCCAGAUGCUGGAGGAGUGGGGAUCAGUGAGUUAGAUACAAUUGUUGUUAUUGGGUCUCUGCAUGAGAAUAAAAUAUAUGCAUAGACGGUAACCCAGUUCUUCCUCUCCUUGAACUUGAGCCUGCUGUGGUGUCAUUAUCCUGGGUUUGUGGCAUCACACUAUUGUCAUGGAAAAGCAAAUGGAGUAAAUUCAGCAUUAUUGCGUAACGGCAGCUUCUAGCAGGACUCCUGAGAGUUUUCUCAGUAUUAAGUGACUUGCCUGAAAUGUGUCAGGCUGUGUGUGCCCGCUUUUUUCCCCACAAGUACGACGGGAUGAUUUGUCUCACACAGGUGCUCUUGGGAAUGCUUCUAAAGCACUCUGGAGACUAAAGCAGCUGUACUAGUGUUCUUAAAAAGGGUAAAGGAAAUGGGAUUUAAUUCUAAUCCUGCUGAGAUCACUUUCCAGUGUACAAAGGGGGCCUUUUCAGAGAGCCUCUUUUAAAUGAGACGUUUUCUGCGGUCGGGUAGUGGUAGAGGUACCGUGAAUAGAGCUUAGCUGAAUAUUGGGGAUAGAAGGCCUGUUUCUUGGUUGAGAAGCUGUACCCUCUGCUAUACGGACUGACUACCCCUUGACUUCACCACACCUUUGUCGGGAUCUCCUUUCAGAUGAAUUCUGCCAGGGCCUGUAUUUAAGGCUUUGCUGAAGUUUCAAGGGAAGGCUGAUAAGAACCAGCCUUCAGCUAUUUUUGCUGGCAGAGUGGUGAUUUGAAGAGAGCACUUUCCUUCUGUAGGAAAAGCUUUACAGGCAGUGGCGUAGCUAGGACAGGGAAACUGGGCGGGCAAUGAUGGGGCGGUUGGGGAUAGGGAGACCGGCCUCCCCCACCAAUCUCUAGCCGUCCUUUACUGCUCAGCAGGCACCUGACCAUGAGGCUGCCUGGGGGAGGCGGGGGUGAACCUUGUAGGGGCAGGGCUGGAGACCAGGGCAGCAGCAUGUGGGGCUGGCAGGAGCGGGACACGGAUGGACACCGACCCGGUGUUGGGAGUCCCAGCCUGUGGAUUCGGGGGGCUCCAGCCCCGAUCUGGGUGGGCCUGGAUGCUAAGUGGGUGGGCCGCAGCCCACUCAGGCCCACUCAUGGCUACAGCCCUGUCAGGUGCUUGCUGACUCCUAAUCUAAUGCACAGAUUAACGGUAAAGCUGCCCUGUAUUAGGGUUUCAUUGUGGGGGAAUCUGCCAAGUUCUUCGAGUGCUUGCUCAUGUCGAUUCCAAGUAGGUGUGCGUAUGCCGCGUGCACAGUCGUCGGAAGGUUUUUCCACAAGCAGUACCCGUCGGGUCAGCUGGGGAGCCCCCGGAGCUGCGCCUUCAUGGCGGUGUAUAUAGGUCCCUGCCGACCCGCCACCUCUUCAAUUCGUUCUUACCGCCUGUGACGGUCGUUGGAGCUGUGUGUCUCUCUUGCCUCCGCCAGCAGUUUCCCCAGUGAUUGGACUUUCUGUUAACCUGUAAAUAGUUAAUUAGUUAGUGUUAGUUUUCAGUAAUUCGUUAGAUAGAAGUGGGGGGUUCCCCCAAGCCCAAUUCCCUCCCCUCUUGGGGUUCGGCACAUGCCUCCAUCCCAAGAGUUUAAGCCGUGCGGGACCUGCUACAAGCUCAUGUCAAUGGGCAACCCCCAUGACUCCUGCCUAAAGUGUCUGGGGGAGGCACAUCAAACAGAUCGCUUCAAGAGCUGCAAAGUUCUCCGCCCGAGAACAAAGAAAGAAAGGGACUUCACGCUCAAAGAACUCCUUAUGGAGGCAGCCCUCCGUCCCCUGCCGGCUCUGGGCGAGCAGGACUUGGCAUUAAGCACCUCUGUGCGCAGCGCUCUGGCCUCUGUUAGAGAAACUACGGCUCGCACUCACCGGUGCCACCUAAGCAGCACAAGAAGACGACUAGAGGGCGCUCACCCAUGGUCAGAGCACUGAGUCUGACAGCAUAAGCGGUAUGCGUCCUACGCAGGGAUCAGCACUGUCGACUUUGGGCCUGCAGAGGGAUCCGUCAAGUCUGGUGCCACUGGACCCUCCUGCUAGAGAGUGCCAGGUGGAGGAGCAGGAGCUCCCUUCCAUCCUGGACACGUUUGAGGUGGCCAGGGACUUGAUUGCCAUGAUGGCACCGCAGUUUCCCACCAGGCAAGAUAGACCUCCGGCACCACAAGGCACGGCGCCGUCCAGAAGCAAGCCCAUGAUGAUGAAGCUCUGCUCGCCUUCCCCACGGCACCAUCCUCCGACACUGUCCUGCUUGGACCACCCUGCCAGAUUGGCUGAAGAAGUUAGCUGUCUGGUUCUUAAACUCAGCAGCAGCAGUCGCUCGCUGGGUGCUCAGUGAUUCUCUGCCUCCCUGGGCUCAGCUCUUGCCAAGCCCUGCUUUUGCUCUGUUCCUCCACAGCUUCAGCCCAGAUCCUGUCCUACACCCAGCCUUGCUCCUGCCUCAGAACCAGCCCUGCUCCCUUCUUCCCUGCCCCCGGUGAUCCGGUUCUGACCCUUGGCUCUGAUUCCUGACUCCGACUCUCUCUUGAUUCUAGAGUGACCAGAUAUCCCGAUUUGAUAGGAACAGUCCUGAUCUGGGGGUCUUUUUCUUAUAUAGGUUCCUAUUACCCCCCACCCCCAUCCCGAUUUUUCACAUUUGCUGUCUGGUCACCCUACUUGAUUCUUGGCUCUGGCAUUUGGAUUCUGACUCUAGUUCUAAUCUUUGGACCUGCUUCUUGGUUUGGGCCCUGUCUCAAUCCCUGCUUUUGGCAUUUGGACACUCACCACUAGGCAUGACUCCCACUCUGACCACUAUGCCUGACCGCCUACAACCCGGUCUCCUGACAUGUGCUCAGUCUGGUUUGUGGUUUAACCAUCUGAUGAGUUCCAUGUAACCUUGUGCAUGUCUUUGUGAGGAAACCAAGUAUCACCAAUAAUCAGUGCAUGUUACUGCACAGCGAUUCUCAAACUGUGGGUCGGGAUCCCUUUUAAUAGGGUCGCCAGGGCUGGAGUUAGACUUGCCUGGGCCCAGGGCUGAAGCCCAAGCCUGAGCCCUGGGCAGCAGGGCUGAGACUUGGGCUUCAGCCCUGGGAUCAGGUUACAGCUCCCCCCACCCCCUGCCUGGGCCUGAAGCCCUUGGGUUUUGACUUUGGCCCCUUCUGGCCCGGGGGAGCUAGGGCUUGGGCGGGCUCAGGGUUUGGUUCUCCCUCCUGGGGUCGCGUAGUAAUUUUUGUUGUCAGAAGGGGGUCGUGGUGCAAUGAAGUUUGAGAACCCCUGUUAUAGCAAGUUCUUAUCUUUCUCUGUUAUCGUUUGCUAUCCUAAUGCCAUGUGGGAAGUAGUUUUGUUUUGCUGUAUAGGGGUGGCUUGCUGCAUCAGGGCCUCUAGUGGUGGAGCACGUACGGGCUCUGGCUGGGAGUUCAGAUGUGGGAGUUCAGUGGGGACACUGGGGCAUGGCCACUAGGUAUCUCGAGGGGAUGGAAGACCACGAGUGUCGAUGAAGCCCCCUCGCACUAGGCCCAGGUGUCCUUGCCCCCCCCCCCUCCGGCCUGGAGGCACUCGCAGCAGCUCUGUGUACUAGGCCCAAGUGUCCUUGGCCCCCCGCGCCUGGAGGCACUCGCAGCAGUUAUGCUGAGGAUCUGCAACAAUAUGUUGCAGAGUCAGACUGCCUGAAACUAAACAAGGCCAAACAGGGCAGAUAUGGAAGAACAAUGCUGAAUAAAGCAGCUUUAUGUAUGGUUUAACAAAUGAUACAGAGAACAAGGGAACUAGCCGGGAACUGGAUUGGCUGGCUAUAUGGAUACUUAGGGCAGCUUGCUAUUGGAUAGGUAUGCUGGGAAAAAGGAUGUAUAAAAGCCUGUGUAACUUCCUGCUCUGGGUGCAGGAUUGGAGAUUUUAUUCUCCCUGGACCUUUUUGCAGCUGCAAAUAAACUUUUCUGCUUCUCCACCCCGUUGUGAUUAUUGGGUGUAGCACACCGGGUAGCGAACCAACCUCAGCUGUUGUUUAGCCUCUCGGCACUGGGUGCCGGCAACAAUAACAAUUAUCAAAAAGUGUCAUGUUUUCUCUAGUGACGUGCUAACAUAUUUUGCCACCAGGAUAAAUAUGGAAUAAUUCUAAUGAAUUACCACAGAUUUACAUUGGUGUAACUGAAAUUAUGCAUUCAAUAUCCUGUUUCAGGUUAGUAAAAAUAAAAGAAUGCUGUGGGUUUUGCGGACAUGUACAAGAUACAGAUUUAUAAAAACAACAUGAAAACAGGUAGUUAUGCUGGGGAAAGGGGAAGCCUUAUUGAAGCUGGUGGGCAUACCAGUUGUCCUUUAUUCAGGAUCAAUGUAAAAACAAUCAAGCUCUUUUGUGGAAUAGAUGGCUGACUUAAUAGAAGUCACCAUCAAGUAAAGCUGGAAUAGGAGUUGAGCCAUACAGUGGAAGGGGCUUUCACUGGGGUCUGAAUGCAAAUGCAGGGGGAUGGGGUUCGGGGCGGGGGGGGGGGGAGGAAGAGAGGGAGUGUGACACCGCAGAAGCACAAAGGAGCCCCAGAGAAGUAUUUGUAGUGUGAUCUCAGAAAAAGUUGAGAGAGAGAGAGAGAGAGAGACGUGCGCGCUUUAGGGUAGACUGCUGGAUAGAAAGAGGCUUGGAAUUGUGAGCCAAGAAACUGUUCCUGCUGUCGUUAGGGAAAUAGAACUUUGUGUACAUUCUUUGUAAAUAAGCAGGAUUGUGUCAAAAAAAUACCUGACUCCAUCAUCCAUUUCUCCCCCUAAUGGAAACAACUCACAAGACCCAAAAUAGUCACUAAUUGCUCAGGUCAAAAGGGAUAACAAUAUUGUGAAUUCUUUUGUUUUCCUGUUCUUAGCUAAAGAAUAGACCUGCUUCAGUAAAGAACCAUAAACACUGAAGAUACUGUUUUGUUCUCUCAGAGCUAGCUCUCAGGAGAUCUAGAAAAUAAGAGUGUUUGUUGUUACACAAUCCUUAGAAUUCAAUUAUUUGCACAAAUCAUUUUAAUUUUUCUCUGAUUAGGAUUUAAAAAUAAGCCAUUCGAUAUUCUGUAUAGUGUUUAGGAAAUUUGUAGGAUUAAAAUCAGCAUGUAUUCUGUAUACAUGGCUUUACCAUAUAUGCAACCUCACAUCUACACUUGUAAGAGGACCACAUUUCCUGAAGCAGUUUCAAACCACUUCAAGCUAGGACAGUUUUAAGCUACUUUAUGUUUCAAAUGUGAAUGGUGUCCGCUGUGUCAAUUAAUUUUUUUAAAUUAUGACCAUGAUCUAAGAUCCACAUUUUCAGAAUUUUCUUACAUCAUUCAUGUGCUUGGAUGAAUAAGGCUGCUUUCCUGAACUGCGGUCCAUAUUUGGAACUGUCUUUAUAGUUUAGACUCAACCACCCUCCUUAUACAGUUUGGAAGUUGUUCGAUACUCCCUGGGGACCAGAUUUACUCUUCUUUACACAGAUUUGGGCCCUAGUCGGGGAGCGACGUACUCAUGUAACCGAGGAGCAGAAUUUGGCCCUCAUAUGGGUUCAGUCUCUCAGUUAGGCCUGUCUUUUUAUCUUAUCUAUUGAUAUAGCAUCCAUCCCGAGAGUAGAAGAGCAGCUGUCCCAUUUCAGACAAGAUACAUCAAUACCUAUAUUGAUUAUUCACAAUGUUUUUAUCUUUGUUGUACUGUUCCUUUUGAGAAAUAAGAAAAUAGAGUAAAAGUAAAAUGUACUUUUUCUCCCAAAUCUAUGUGCCAUUCCUGAUCUUGAUUGAACAGGGGAGAGCGUCUUUCCUCUGGAUUAAGAAUCCAGCUGAGACAACUACCCCAGCCCCACACAUUCUACAAGGGAAUCCAAAGUCAGAGCAGUGGCAUUCAGUGAAGGGUAGCUGCUCUCUUUGAACAUCCUGAUAGAUGAAAUAAAGGACUGGGGGUCAUCAUUAAAAGUACCUUAAAUGGGAGCUCAAUCCCCAGAGCUAUGAUUGCCGAAUCAGGAAAAAACAAGAAAGUACGUCCUCUCAGGGAUUGGCAUAUUCAAGUUUACAAGAGAGACGAUAAAGACUGGCCAUGACGUAGAAAAAUCAAAAUUCAAGUUCGCCAGUAAGAAAAGAGCCUGAGUAAUAGUCAGCUAAAGAAUGGAAGGGACCAGUUUACCCAGGAAGUUACAAGAGCCUUUAUUAAAAUGGAGAGCUACUUUUGUCCUUCUGUCUGCUUGCUUCUGGCAAAAGUUGGCUCAGGAAUAGAGGGGGAAUCUCUUGGGGUCCAGCAACUCUGCUGGCUUGGGAAAGGGUGCACUGCAUCACCCACUCCUCCCUGUGUGAGACAAUCUCUGUGCCUCUGUUUCGACAGUUCAAAACCCUUAAAAAUACCUUUCUUUACAGCUCAAUACAGAAAUUGCCAGAACCUAGUCCUGUACUUUUUUCUUUAAAAACAAACAAUGAAAUGGGGAUGUUUGCACGACAAUGAUAUGAAUCGAUGUCUGUAUUUUUAUAUCUUUAGACGCCCAACAAAUAUAUAAAAAUCUGCAUUAAAAUAACAAUUAGUAAGUUUGCAAAACUGAGCAAUGGAAAGUUCGGAAAUGCCAGGAUUCAGGGAGUCUGACUACUGUGCACGUGCAUUUUGACACAGUCUUUAAUUGCACAAUUGUACUAUUUUUUUCCACAGGCCCCUCAUUCAGUGACCAUUGAAGUGUUGUUUGUUGUUUGCCUUCAGACGCUGUGUACAUACUUCUGCAACGUGAACACAUCAAGUCAGGUUCCAGGUCGCAGUCCUUCUCUUCCAGGGGCUCAGUGGCCAGGGCCCAGUAUAUCUAAAAUAUCAGGUCCUAGCGCAAUGGGAUCCUGCUCUGUGACUGGGACUGUGAGGCAGGACUGCAAUACAAAUAAUCACAUGCUGAUCUCCAGAAAUAUUUUUAUACCGUGGCCAUCCCCACUAGCUUAAGAGAUUAGUCACGGAAAAUGGAAGUUUGUGAACCUGACAUCUGCAGUUUAACUCAGUCCCCUUGUCUCCUGCACUGAGUGUUCUUUCUGCUCAAUACACACUCAAUGGUAGGCAUGCCCACAGAAUAGGGUUAUGAAGAUGGGUCUCUGGGAGGCUUUGACUUCCUCUACCAUGGGAUGCUAUUGCAGGAAGGAGGUUUGCUGGGAAGAGAUGGGGUCCGUCUGACCAAGAAGGAGAAGAACAUCUUCAUGCACUGACUCACCAACCUUAGGAGAAGAGCUUAAAACUAAGUUCAGAGGGGGCAGGUGAAAAAAGCCACCAGGUAAAAAAAGGUGGCCUUAAUAGAGGACUAGCUGUGUGGGGAGAAGUAGAUGUGGAAAACUGCAGUAGAAUUAUCGGAGAAACAAGAGGGAAAUCCAUGGGGGCAUCUGCUUAACAUCUUAGAUGUCUGUACGCACAAGCAAGGAGUAAUAAUAAUGGGAAAUAAACAGUAAGAACUGGGAGUUUUAGUACAUAAAUCUUAACUGAGCUUAACUGCAUCACAGAUACUUGAUGGGAUAAAUCUCAUGACUGGACUAUUGGUAUAGAGGGCUAUAGCUUGUUGAGGAAGGACAGGCAGGAAAAAAAAGAGAGGACAUAUUGCAUUGUAAACCUGUUCUGAGGUCCAGAAGGAGGUGAGAAGCAGACCAGUUGAAAGUCUCUGAGUAAAGAUAAAAGAGGGAAUAAACAGGGGUGAGGUCCUGGUAGGGGUCUAUUACAGACCACCAAAUCAGGAAGAGGAGGGAGAUGAGGCAUUUCUAGGACAAACAACAGAAAUAUGCAAAACACAAAUCCUGAUCAUAAUGGGGGACUUUACCUACCCAGACAUCUGCUGAAAAAGGAAUAUGGUAAAACCCAAAAUUACCCAAUAAGUUCCUGGAAUGUACUGGGGACAAUGCUUUGUUUCAGAAAAUGAGGAAGUGACCGGGGGGACAGCCAUUUUAGACUUGAUUCUGACCAGCAGGGAGGAGCUGGUGGUGAAUGUGAAGGUGGAAGGUGAUUUGGGUGAAAGGGGUCAUGAAUGAUAGAUUUCAUGAUUCUAAGGAAAGGAAGGAGUGAGAAUGACAGGAGAAGGACUGCCAAAAGCAGACUUUAACAUCCUGAGAGAAUUGGUAGGUAGCGACCCAUGGGGAAAAAGUCUAAGGCAUAAAGGAGUUCAGGAAAGCUGGCAGUUUAACCUCCAGGAGACAAUAUUAAAGGCACAACUGCCAAUGCAAAGGAAAGAGAGGAAGAAUAGUAAGAGGCCAAUGGCUCCAUCAGAAGUUUUGUAAUGACCUGAAAAUCAAAAAGAAAUCCUACAAAAUGGGGAAACAUGGACGAAUUACUAAGGAGGAGUACAAAAGAAUAGCAUGUCCAUGUAAGGGCAAAAUCAGAAAGGGUAAGGCACAAAAUCAGUUAUACAUAGCAAAGGACACAUGUAACUGGAAUUCUUUUUCCAUAUGGUUUACUGCAAAGAGUGUCAUCACUCUGAAUGCUUUAAAGGCAACAUCAUCUCCAAAAUCAAGUGUGGGCUCUACAUAUGGCCAUACAUAUGACACCACACUGUAUUAAACACAACAAAAAAUAAUUUAGUUGAUUUGUUUGGCGGGACAUGGAAAUGAAGAAUAAAUUUCAAUUCAUUGUAAAACAAUAUAAAAAUCAAUAUUUGUAAUACAGUCCAAUAAGAUUUCAUCAAGCUUUUUAAUCAACCGAAUUAAAAAGCAAAGGAAACCAACCACCCACACUCAAGUGUCACUGUGCAUUCCAACCAACCAACCACACUCAAGUGUCACUGUGCAUUCUCCAAGGCAGUUUCUUCUCUUUCUUUGUUCGGUGCUUUUAUUUUCUAUCAAUUCAACCAGGAGCAGAUUUUCCAAUAAAACCAAUAUUGGAAAGUGUGGCAAACUGAGAGAGGGACGGAACCAAAAUUCAAAAUGAUUUAGAGCGAAUGAGAAAUUCUACACUGGAGCAAAUUUAGCCACCUAUUGGACUGCGUACAUGGAUGGGCCCAGAUAUUGAAAUGUAUUUAGGUUCCUCACAUCUAUUGAUUUCAGUGCGAGUUAGGAGCCUAAAUACCUUUGAGGCUCUUGUCCAUGUCAUCACAGCACCUACCUGGUCAGCAGCAGUUUAUGUGCUAUGUCACAGUCACAGCGAUGUCAUAAUAGUGCUUGCAUAAUCUGAACUGGCUAUCCUGGACAGGACAGCCUGAGAGGCCAGCUGCCUAUCAGUACUGGAGCUCUUUGGAGACAGGACUGGAGGAAGUGUUGAGGAAAGAUUAAAACAUGAAUACAUUUGUGAGUGAGCAGGAGGUAACCGACAGAGGUAAGGGUCAGCAUUGUAUUCUCUAUAUCCAGUCUAUAUUCACACACACAUUUAGAAAGCAUAGGCAUACAGAUUAGCUGUAAUGUUCUCCAUUUGUAUGAGCAGAACCUCAGCUGCUGUAAACCAGUGUCCCUCUGUUGACUUCCUUGUAGCUGUGUUGAUUUACACCAGUUGAGGAGUUGGCCUACAGCCUCUGGACCUGGAAACUUUCCUGAGAAUCUGAGUUUCUAGGGAAUGUUAUGGGGGAGGUCUUCCUUCUUUUCUCCCAGUUGUUUUAUGUUUGUUAUGGGUCCUCAUUUUGUGUCUUCUGCAUCCAUGGAGCCAACUCCAUCAGAGAUAGGGGAAAUUAGAACAAAAAAGGCAGAAGGACUUCUCCUCUAGCUGUCUAAAUGAAGCUCUGCUAAUAUCUUAAAUGAGGGAGAACAAAGCAUGGGGUCACAUUUCUUAGCAACACUAGUGCUCCUCAUCCCACACAGAUGGGCAGAGUAGGUUACAGUUAUGAUUCCGUUUGCAUCUGGGUGUUACAACUGAAGGAUGCAAUUUGCAUAACGGAUGGGCAAUCACCUAACCUCAAGCAGUCUUUCCUGGGAAGGGGAAAUCUUGUUAGUUCCUCCUUCAUGCUUGGAAUGCUGUUACAAUGGAGAGAGAUAAAUACGGCAUUUCAGAUUUCUUGUGAAAUAUUAAGUCUCCUGGAGAAUUUCUGCCCAGAGCGAAGAGAUACAUGGGAGAUCAAAUCCUGAUUUUUUUCAUACACCAGCUAUUUCAUUGUUUCCUCGAGUUUAAGGCCAGAAGGGACCAUUAGAUCAUCUAGUCUGACUUCCUGUAUUUCACAGGCCACUAAAUUUCACCUAGCAACCCUACACUGAACCCCAAAACUUGUCUUGGACGAAAACAUUUCAGUCUUUAGGAGACAAAACUGUUGUGUGCCAUCGGCAGAGGACAGGAGAGACUGAGGUUCCACCAAUGCCUGAGGCCCUUGCAAUGGUCGAGAAUUGAUUAGGUCAGAUAUACUCAGAUUAUCCUAGCAGGUGAUCAGUGCCCCACCCUGCCACUCAAAGGUAAUAAUGGGGAAUAAACAGUAAGAACUGGGAGUUUUAGUACAUAAAUCUUAACUGAGCUUAACUGCAUCACAGAUACUUGAUGGGGUAAAUCUCAUGACUGGACUAUUGGUAUAGAGGACUAUAGCUUGUUGAGGAAGGACAGGCAGGAAAAAAAAGAGAGGACAUAUUGCAUUGUAAACCUGUUCUGAGGUCCAGAAGGAGGUGAGAAGCAGACCAGUUGAAAGUCUCUGAGUAAAGAUAAAAGAGGGAAUAAACAGGGGUGAGGUCCUGGUAGGGGUCUAUUACAGACCACCAAAUCAGGAAGAGGAGGGAGAUGAGGCAUUUCUAGAACAAACAACAGAAAUAUGCAAAACACAAAUCCUGAUUGUAAUGGGGGACUUUACCUACCCAGACAUCUGCUGAAAAAGGAAUAUGGUAAAACCCCAAAUUACCCAAUAAGUUCCUGGAAUGUACUGGGGACAAUGCUUUGUUUCAGAAAAUGGAGGAAGUAAGCGGGGGGACAGCCAUUUUAGACUUGAUUCUGACCAGCAGGGAGGAGCUGGUGGUGAAUGUGAAGGUGGAAGGUGAUUUGGGUGAAAGGGGUCAUGAAUGAUAGAUUUCAUGAUUCUAAGGAAAGGAAGGAGUGAGAAUGACAGGAGAAGGACUGCCAAAAGCAGACUUUAACAUCCUGAGAGAAUUGGU